UGUGACUAUAAUUCAUUUGAAGACUCAUGAAGUCUGCUUUCACAGUGAAUAUCAGCUUUUAUUGUGUAUUUAAAUGCUUUACCUUUAACAUAAAGCCAGAUGUCUCUGUGUUCCUUCUCAGUUCUGCAUCUGUAGACUCUCUGAUCCUCUUCUCUCAGGUCAGAUAUGAGCAGAGACAGAUUAGCAGGAGAAAUGUUAUUAAACAGCUGAAGUCUGCCACGGUAGUGUUCAUCAUUUAACAUUUCUGUCCAAUCUCCUGUUCUGUAGCUCAUCCAGGUGAGUUUCUGAGGUUUGGUGUGCAGGUCAGAGCAGGAGCAGGGUAACAGCACUGAACCACCUUUGUGUCGUGUGAUUACUACCUGAUUAUCAGCAGAGAGAGCACAGCCUACAGAAACAAACAUACAAAAACUCACAAUCUACUGAAUACUCUGGAAGUAUUUUCUGGACAAAUUGAAAACAUUCACAAAUUGAAAUGUUUUGCCCUUACUGUGGCAAAAGCUUUGAAGCUUUGCCAAGCUUCACUAAAUAAUAAUAAUAAUAAUAAUAAUAAUAAUAAUAAUAAAGGUUUUUAAAUGAUGCUAUUUUAGGCGUAAUGCUUUAAGCACUCUCUUUAAAUUGAUUGAUUUGCCCAUUUUUUAAAUGUAAACUUUUAGCCUGUAUACUCAUAGAUACUGUAAAUUGUGUGUUUGUUUUGUUACUUAUUUAUUUAAAUUGGUCGUUAUGUAGAAAGUUAAGUUGCUUUGGUUGUGUAAGAGCUCGCGGGCGCUCGCUUUCUGACUUCAGCGCUAUUACCGCUAAGUGUCUAAAAGCCGCGCCGUAAUAUUUUACUGCAGCUUGAUUAACCGUGGUUUCAGGAAGACUGUCUGCUUAACCACAGUGAAGCUUGGAACGGCUUCAAGCUUUUGCCACAGUAAGGGCACAUUUCACAUUACAGUUUGUGAAACAGAAGAAAAGAACUCGAAUCAUUCAAGCGUUUUCGCUAGUCUAAGAUAUCAGCAGACUGAAAAUCAUAGUUCCUUUACAUUUUGAUAGUCAUACUCCGUGUCCAAUCAGAAACGAGCAUUGAUUGAUGUUCGAUCAGGACCUACCCUUUCCGUUUUGAGUUAAUGCUAUUGCGUUUUUGGUUUGUUAAAGUGUUUUGCACUUUAGGGCCACCAUAAUUUUGGGUUUGCAAUCAGUUACAACUGCGAUGAUCAAAAAAAGUUGAAAAAACAGUCAGUCUUUGUAGACAUUACUCGACCCGAGUGCCGUAUGCUCAUGGCGAUACAUCUAAUAUGACGAGUCAUCUACACCGUCAUCACCCGGGGAUUGAUAGCGCGCGGGUCUGAAGCCCGUUUCCGCCCCGGAGAAAAACAUUAAAAAGGUCAUUUCAACUUUUUUUUGCAAUUACAAGUUUUCUUAGUCGCAUUUGUCAUGGCUUGUACGAUUAUGGAAAACAGUAUAGAGGAUUAUUUUGGUUUCACAAAUAGAGAGAUCUUGAUUUUAUUGGAAGAGUCACAACAUAAACCUAUGUCUCCAGACUCUUGAGAGAACGUUAUGCAGAAACCAGUUGUGGUGGAGACGCAACAAAACAGAUGAAGCCGAAGUGGCAUAUUUUAUACACCAGCAGCUUCAGACAUCAGAACGACAACAUGGCUAUCAGUGGAUACAGCAGAAAUGUUGGAUGUCCGGGAUGAUCACAGACAGAGAAACUGUCCGUCAGUUGAUGCGACAGUUAGAUGGACAAGAAGUGGAUCUGUGUGUGCAUGUAUAACAGUCGUUAAUAUGACUAACAUAAUGUUUUAUUUACCCCCCAGAUAUCAGGCUUUGAUGUUCAGGAUUUUUGUGUUGAUCUUGCAUACUGGUUCAAAUCCAGCACAAAGAGGAAGAGCAUGCUUGACGGCAAGUUAUCCUUGCAUAACACAUAUAUUGUACUUUGUGAAUAUUGUGAGAUGAAAUGGCAAUCAUUUAUUGAAGGGCCAUACUACUUGUAUAAUACUUGUAUAAUAAUUUAAAUAUUUUAUUUAUUGAAGAGUUCUGUGUGUUUUGUGACACAAAGUACAUGGAGUUACUGCAGCAUUUGAGCAUCAGAUGGCUCAGUUUGGACCUCGCUGUGAAUCGUAUACUCCGUCUCUACAAUGCUGUAAAGAGCUGCUUUAGAGCAUUUUGUGGAGCGACUCCACAGAUGAAAGGCAAGCCAGAUUUGUGAGACUCCGUACCUGUUUUCAGGAUCCAACCACUGAAGUUCAUCUUCUCUGUUAUUGAGCACUUCUACCUACAUUUAUUGAGUUUAAUCUGUUAUUCCAGAGACAAGAACCAUGCCUCCAUCUCCUUCAUGGGUAGGAACUUGAUUUCACUAUUUCAAUACAAUAAUAAUCUACCAUUUGACGAUGCCAAACAACAGGACAGCAUGGGUGAGGAGUUUCAAAUGCUAGACACAGACAUUCCAGAAAGGGUCUGGAAAUCUGCCCUGGUCAAGGUGGAUGGGGAGAAAGAAUUCCACCGAACAGACAUCAUAUGGGCACACUUGAGUGCCAUGAAGAGCCGUUUAACAGGUGCACCCAGGUUCCAAAGACUUGCAACAGUGGCACAGCUUGGUUCUCAGAUGGAACCAUGCUACACAUAUGAGCCACCUCUGCAGAUGAUUAAAAACUCAAUCUGCACCCUCUGAAUAUAAAGACCAUUCAACAAAAUAGGUUCAUAAAACAUGUCAGGAAAAUGUCUGUCCUAUUUUACUUCAGAAUAAAAGCAUAAAAUGUAUAUUUACAUUUAUAUUGUUUUCAUGACCGUUGUGCACAUUUUACCCCCUAAUUCUCAUUUCCGCACAGCAAAAAAGGUGAUUUGAUUCAUAAAUCUCACUGCAGCCAGGUAACCAAAGUUGGCAACCCUGUACUACAGAAUGUGCAGAUUUCUUUAAAAUGAUCAGUUAUCAUGUUUUUAUAAUUACUUACUGACAUUUCUCAAUACUAUGUUCACUUUUUCAAAACUCUUCACACAGUUGGUUUUUACCAGCGUGCAGCUCAGUACAGCAGUUAACCUCACAUCCAUAAUGCACUAUAACUAUUGAAACACUUCACACACGCCUCAAAACCAACUCAUUCUACCAGAACAGUAGCAAAGGCUUUCUCUCUCUCAACAACAUAUACCUGGAGUAUACCAGAAAUACACCCUGGAUUGUAUACCAGUCAACUGCAGUAACCAGACACACCCACAAUCAUAACAAGGAACAAUUUGUCUUAGCCAAUACUCCUAAUGACAUGUUUUAGGAAGAGAGAUGAAACCAGAGGAAACCUACAUGGCCAUCGGGAGAACAAGCACAGAAACUCCACACAGAUGGGACCCUGAGCUCAGGAUUGAAGCAGGAACCCUGGAGCUGUGAGGAGACAACGCUACCCACUGCAUCACCACGCUGCUCACAGGUCCACAGAUUUCUCCUUUUGUAUAGAUGGUAAUGAAGUGAAAAUCAGAACACCUGGGUAAGGCUAAAUUGGAAAUCUGCUGUGAUUUGUUUAUUUAUUCCUUACAAUUUUAUUUUUUAAAAUAAAAAGUACCUCGUUGUUUGAUUUUGAACUUGUACUGAUUCGUUUUGAAAACCGUAUGUAAAGUGAAAAAAAAAAAGUAUAUACAGGGUUUUGUUGGAGAUUGAGUUUGAGUGAGAAAAGAAUUCAUGAAUUUUGAAAGCUGAGGUUAUUCAUUUUUGUGUCAAAGCAAUAAAAAUUGAUACACACUUCUGUCCAUAUAGACUGCUGUUGUGAGUUUUGAAAAUGUGAACAGAGUAUUAAUAAAGGCACUUUUUUUAAACAAACAAAAAAAAAAAAAAACUGCAAAUAAGGCGUAAUGUAGGAAGUGAAGCUGGUGGUCAGUGACAGAGGGACAGCAGAAAAAGGUGUGAAAUUCACACGCAUCUAUUUAUAGCUAAGACCAGCAUGAGGAAGUGACAUACAAGUUACAGGAAAAUAACAUUUCUAUUAUGCUUUGAGUUAUUAUAGAUAUAUUCAACAAGACAGAUUGUGAGAGAUAUAAUUCAGUAAAUGUGUAAAAACAUACACUGUAAGUAUUAUAGGGAUGUAAAAUAAUCUCACUAUAGAAUCCUCCUUAUUCAUUAGCCCACCUCUCUUCAUCAGUACAUUUUAGACUGAAGUUAAUCAGGAAGAAAAAAUUCACAUAUUUCCAUUGAAUGUGUUCAACACUGUUGUCCCUAUUAAUAUUAUGACACUGUAGUAAGUAAAGUUGUUAAUUAAAACUCUAAAUGAUAA